rnacentral:rRNA from 1 species
CGUUGUAGUUCUAGCAGUGGGGCGUUGUAGUUCGUUGUAGUUCUAGCAGUAAACGAUGCCGAUGUCGUGGUGCCGAAUCAAUGGCGACGCGAAAGAGAAAUCGAGUAGGGCCCUGGGGAGAGUACACGCGCAAGCGAGAAAUUUAAAGGAAAUUGACGGAAGAACACCACAAGGAGUGGAGUGUGCGGCUUAAUUUGACUCAACGCGGGAUAACUUACCGGGCCCGACGACCGUAUGAGUGUGACACACGAUAGGUCGAAGAGUGGUGCAUGGCCGUUAACGACGAGUGGAGUGAUCUUUGGGUUAAGUCCGUAAAUUAGUGAGACCUYAGCCGUAAGGGGACAGGUGCGCAAAGCACAGGAAGGAUGGGUCAAGGACAGGUCAGUGAUGCCCUUAGAUGGUCCGGGCUGCACGCGCACUACAGUGGUCGCCGAAAUUUUAUAAAAGAAGUAAAGGCGAUCGAGAGGGAAUGAGCUUUGUAAGAGGCUCAGGAACGAGGAAUUGCUAGUAAUCGCGGACUCAUUAAGACGCGAUGAAUACGUCCCUGUUCUUUGUACACACCGCCCGUCGUUAUCGAAGAUGGAGACAGGCGCGAACGAUCUACCAGAAAGUGAGCGCAGGUCUUUAGAUCUGAUACAAGUCGUAACAAGGUAGCUGUAGGAGAACCUGUAGCUGG